AUACGUACACGCUACUAGUUAAAUGAACCCAAAAUACAAUAUAGCCUUUCUCCUCUGUUGUCAUUCACGUAAACCCAAUGGAAGGCUCCCUUCUUUUAUUCAACUCUUAAUUCUUCAUUCUAUUAUUUUACUAUUUUUGGUUUUACUUACUUUAAACUACAAGCAUACCCACCAAUCUACGAAAGACAACAACCCCUCCAACAUUAUUUUCUUACCGCCAAGCUCUCUCUCUCUCUCAAGCACUUAACGUUUUCCACCCACACGUUCACCAACCUUCUUCUUUUCCUCGUUCUUAACAGUCCAGCCCCCUCACUCUUCUUUUACUUAUACUACCUAAGACCAUACAGCUCAUGCAUAAGACCCUUCCAUUCCUUUUUGCUAUCUUACACCACUAACGCAUCCCCCAACAAAGAAACCUUAUCCCAUGCAACUUCCCAACUUAACCAUCGCACACUAUGUAUACAAGAGAACCCAUACAACAUUCAUCAUUCUUUCUCACUUUACAACCAACUUAAACCCACGUUCUUCCCUAAGAUCCAGCUUCUCCACCAUGUAUACUUACAAUGCUAAUCCCAAAACCGAUACUUCACCUUCAUCUUUCAACGUUUCCUUUUUCUUUUCCCAACUACACAUCUACAAAUACCCGUUCUCCUAUAUCUAUUUUGCUCCAACACACAACCACUAACGCUCUCACCUUCUCACCCUUAAAACCUCACGCCCAAAUAGCAACCUGAACAUAAAUUCUCCCUCCCAUGCAAUGCCUACAAACCUUUCUCUCCCACGCUACUAUAUCCAAUCCAUUACCACUCGUUUAUGACCACUGAACCCACUCAAGAAAUUCACUCCAUAACGUCAAACUACCACGAGCAACAUUUAAAAGAGUAACACGACGUUUCCUGGUUAGAGUCCCUCUCAUACACACUUUAACUCUCUCUUCCUUACUCUAUCUUCUUCUUUUUAAACCUAGUUCACCUCCUUCUUCCUUCUUUCCAACUAAGCAACAUAUAUAAAUAUAUCAAUAUUUAUAUAACCUAACCUAUUCUUGAUACAGGAAACUUAUGCAUGAAACCAACUUCCUCCUUCACUACCAACCCGCACCAAUUAUGACCACCUCAAAAAGGGACUUAAGCUUACUCCAAUACAGUGCAUACAUAAAUAAGAAACCUAAAACACACUAUUCAUGCUACCAGACUCACCUUCAGGUUAUUGUGGAGAGAAGAAAAUAUUAGCCAAUCUCCUGAACGUGUGAACUUGUUCCUACACUGCAACAAUGCUAAUCUUCAAAGCACAAUACUCUCCUGCUCUCACUUCUCUUUCUAACAACCCAACCCACAGAAAGUUACACCUUCUUUCUCCAACUCGUGCCAACAUUGUCCCAAUAUCACUCCAUCCAUUUUCAUUCAUACACCAUUAAACCCUGAACCUGUCUUCCAUUCUCCCUCUUCUUUUCCGUAUUUCAAACACGCACCCAUCUAUAUAUUUAUUAUGCUAACUCACAUAAAUUGGGAUGUAGAACAAGAAUUCGAAGUAGAAACAAGAAGAAAAUCAAUAACAUCACACAAACCCAAACACAUAAACAUUCUAGUCACUACCCUUACCUUGGCUUCUAGAGGUUCCCUCCAGUUCUUUGAUUCCCAGAAAGGUUUGGAAGUCUCCUACUCUCCCGUGGCAGCCUCAACACCCCUGGCAGCACCUUGGAGCCUCAAGACUAACACCUUUUCGUUCCCUGUAUUCCCAGCGUGGCUAGUAACCAUGAAGCUCUCCCUCUCGAUCAUUCUAACUCUCCCUCGGGUUGAAGCUGGAAGAUAGGGUUAUGAUUGGCUCCUACCUUCUCGCGGCUGCUCUCAAUCCUCCUUCUAGACUUAACCUAAAAAGAACUUCUCAAAACUCCCUCAUUCUUCUCCGUCAAGGACCGAAAAUAUCCUCCUAUUUACUCCCAAUAUUUUGUACCAAAAAAAACCACUUUAAAGUUUCCUUUCUAGACCUAUAAUACUUUCCUUAAUUAACUUAGCAUUCAAGGUGCAAUAUCUGUGAUUUGAAUGACAAUAAAGAGGUGUCCAACCGUUAAGCAUCAUCUAAUAAAAUACAAUUCCAAACAAUAUCCUGUAAGGAAUCCUAAAGGUGAAGGGACAACAACCUUGAAGCCACCCUCUGCCCAUGCCACGAAUCUACAGUGUAGUGACUGGAAGAAUAAAAUUAACACCAGGAACCUAUUCUCUCUCUUCGUAACACCACAUUACCAUGCCCACAACAUUAUAAACGUUCCUUUCUCUCUCUUUCACUUCAUACGCACACUGCAUGCACUCAAAUGACUUCUCUCACUCCAACAAGCUUGCAACACUACAAGCAUAAAAUAAACCAAUUUCUAUUGGCUAAAGAGUCUCCCUUGGGACCCACACGUGAAUGCACAAGGAGAAAUAUAACAAACUUAAUUUUCUUCUCUCCUUUCACCUCCCCACGUGAAACCACAACAUUCCUUCAUUAAUUCACACGUUAUGAUGGGCCAAGGUGGGUCCCACCAUUAACC
rnacentral:lncRNA from 1 species